rnacentral:lncRNA from 1 species
GGCCCCCCCGCCCAGUGGCCCCUCUGCCCUCGGCUCCUGGGGACUUCCCAACGGCAGGCCAGGCGCCACCAGCGGCCAUCCACGUCCCACAGCUGAGGAACCCGAGGCACCGGGCAGGGGACACCCAGCCGGGACUGCGGACCGCAGGGAGCUCACCCCGAGCCCGACACCUUUACCAGCCCGCGGUGCCGGAGCCUGGCCCUGGGCACCGAGGGCACAUGGGGAACCUGCCCAGCGUCCCUUCAGAUGACAAGACUUCCAAACGUUUUAGAAAUGCCGGGGCCUGGCCACCUGUGGCCACCCCUGGAACUCCAGCAACUCCAGGGGCUGAGGCGCUCAAGUUGGAGGCCACCUCAGCAACUUCGUGACACCAUGUCUCCAGAAAAAACAAGAUCAAAAGGUCUG